rnacentral:lncRNA from 1 species
AUAGUGUUUGAUCCUUCAAGCCAUGAUGGUAGACCAAAAUUACAUCGCAACCAGACGUCAUAGAACUACCCUAAUAGCAUGAUGAAUUCAGUAAUGACGAGAGACCCGAAGAAUCUUUGCCUAAUUGAAAUAACUAGCAAAAUCAAUAAUACACAUAAAAGAAUCAAGAACGUUACCUAAGAGACGAAGAGGGAAAGGCAGAGGAUUCUUGAACGCCCCUAGAAUGAAAGAAAGAGAAAACACUGGUGUCGCUAGAAGAAAAGGAGAUACGGCGGUGUGAAAGAUGUCCCCUCCAAGUAAAACCCUCUAACAUGUCUCCGACGGUGUUUGGAGAGCAGCAGGAUGAUCGGAGAACGAAUGAAAGGGAGAAGAAUGAAAACUUACGACGAUCUUGUUAAUUUCUUUGGAUUAUAGAGAUGAUUGCGAGUGUAUAGGGCUGCUUGGGUCUCCGAGGAGCGGAGUUAUAGAGACUAGCCUCUCCGGUGGACGAGUGAAGUGUGGAAGAGCGAAGAAGAUGGUAAUAUUAAGCGCCAAUACACC